GACGAACGCUGGCGGCGUGCUUAACACAUGCAAGUCGAGCGGUAAGGCCCUUUCGGGGGUACACGAGCGGCGAACGGGUGAGUAACACGUGGGUGACCUGCCCUCAGCUCUGGGAUAAGCCCGGGAAACUGGGUCUAAUACCGGAUAUGACUUCAUGACGCAUGUUGUGGAGUGGAAAGCCUUGUGCGGCUGAGGAUGGGCCCGCGGCCUAUCAGCUUGUUGGUGGGGUGANGGCCUACCAGGGGCGACGACGGGUAGCCGGCCUGAGAGGGCGACCGGCCACACUGGGACUGAGAUACGGCCCAGACUCCUACGGGAGGCAGCAGUGGGGAAUCUUGCGC
rnacentral:rRNA from 1 species